UACGUAGGUGGCAAGCGUUGUCCGGAUUUACUGGGCGUAAAGGGCGUGCAGGCGGUUUUUUAAGUGCGGGGGGAAAGCUCCCGGCUCAACUGGGAGAGGUCCUUGCAUACUGGCGAACUCGAGGGAGGCAGAGGAAAGUGGAAUUCCCGGUGUAGUGGUGAUAUGCGUAGAUAUCGGGAGGAACACCUGUGGCGAAGGCGGCUUUCUGGGCCUUACCUGACGCUGAGACGCGAAAGCGUGGGGAGCGAACCGG
rnacentral:rRNA from 1 species